GAUGAACGCUGGCGGCGUGCCUAAUACAUGCAAGUCGAGCGAACAGACGAGGCGCUUGCUCCUCUGACGUUAGCGGCGGACGGGUGAGUAACACGUGGAUGCCCUACCUAUCAGACUGGGAUAAUCUCGGGAAACCGGCGCUAAUACCGGAUAAUAUCUUGAAGCGCAUGGUUCAAUGGUGAAAGACGGUUUUGCUGUCUCUUAUCGCUGGAUACCGGCCGCUUUAGCUAGUUGGUAAGGUAAAGGCUUACCUCGGGUAGCAUGCGUAGCCGACCGGAGAGGGGGAUCGGCCACACUGGAACUGAGACAGGGUCCAGGCGCCUACGGGAGGCAGCAGAAGGGAAUCGUACGCAAUGGGCGAAAGCCUGACGGAGCAGCGCCGCGUGAGUGAUGAAGGUCUUCGGAUCGGAAAACUCUGUUAUUAGUGAAGAACAAAUGUGGAAGUAACUAUGCACGUCUUGACGGUACCUAAUCAGAAAGCCACGGCUAACUACGUG
rnacentral:rRNA from 1 species